GACGAACGCUGGCGGCGUGGAUUAGGCAUGCAAGUCGAACGGUAUCAUCCUUUCGGGGGUGAGAGAGUGGCGAACUGGUGAGUAACACGUAGGUUAUCUACCCUCAAGACGGGGACAACCCAGGGAAACUUGGGCUAAUACCGGAUGUGAGCAACUUUUAGUUGUUUGAAAGGUGGCGUAAGCUGUCGCUUGGGGAUGAGCCUGCGUCCUAUUAGUUAGUUGGUGAGGUAACGGCUCACCUAGGCAAUGAUAGGUAGGCGGCCUUAACGGGUGGUCGCCCACACUGGGAUUGAGAUACGGCCCAGACUCCUACGGGAGGCAGCAGUCGAGAAUAGUCUACAAUGGUCGGAAGACUGAUAGUGCGACGCCGCGUGAACGAUGAAUCCCUUCGGGGUGUAAAGUUCUUUUAUAUGUGAGCAGUGCUUCUUAUAUUUAACAGUAUGGGGAGAGAGAUAUUAGCAUAUGAAUAAGCAACGGCUAAACUCCGUGCCAGCAGCCGCGGU
rnacentral:rRNA from 1 species